rnacentral:tRNA from 3 species
GGGCCGAUGGUCUAGCUGGUCAUGACGUCGCCCUUACAAGGCGGAGGUCCCCGGUUCAAAUCCGGGUCGGCCCA